CGGCGGACGGGUGAGUAAUGUAUGGGGAUCUGCCUGAUGGCGGGGGAUAACUACUGGAAACGGUAGCUAAUACCGCAUAAUGUCUACGGACCAAAGCGGGGGACCUCCGGGCCUCGCGCCAUCGGAUGAACCCAUAUGGGAUUAGCUAGUAGGUAAGGUAACGGCUUACCUAGGCGACGAUCCCUAGCUGGUCUGAGAGGAUGAUCAGCCACACUGGGACUGAGACACGGCCCAG
rnacentral:rRNA from 1 species